GGAUUGUGGCUCAGUGGUAGAAUGCUUGCCUAGCAUGUGUGAGGCACUGGGUUUGAUUCUCAGCACCA
rnacentral:tRNA from 1 species